UGAAGAACAAGAGGUUGUAUGACCGGACGGCUCGAGAGGCACCGUUACUACCAGGGGAGAGGGUGCUGGUGCGGGAUAAUCGCCGACAAGGGAAGGGAAAAUUGAGUGACCGGUGGGAGGCUCAGCCGUUUGUCGUUUUGCGACAGCCACACCCAGACCAACCCGUAUAUGCAUUGCGGCCAGAAGGAAAGGCGGGCCCCGAACGGGUGUUACAUCGAAAUUUGAUCCGCCCUUGCCCAAACUACCCAAAACGUGUUGUAGAGAAUCCACCGGUUGAAACGUCCGGGAUGCCCCCGCUGGUAGGAUGGGCGGUGAUUCCAGGAGGCCUGGGCCUAGGGCUACGACCUGAAGCACCCAUUUCCCCACCUCGACGGUCCCAGCGUGAGAAUCGAGGUCAGCCUCCAGCUAGGUUUGGAGACUGGGUGUCUGGAGACCGUUCUCGGGACUAGAACGGUUUGGCGGGGGGGUAUGUCACAGUGUGACAAAUGGCAUGUGGAACUUAUUCCCGCUGAAGCAGUGUUCCCGGGGGAACGCUUUGAGUGUAACCCUGUUCCCAGGCCUGUGUGUGCGUUUGUUGCUGUGACAACCCCAAAUGAUGGAUUGGCAACAGGUGUGGGGGAUUUACUCAGAGUUUGCGUGAGGCCUCAUCAACAGUGGAGAGGAUAAAAAGCAAGAGAGAGAGGUGGUGCGUGUGGUUUUUCUCCCUUGUGAAAAGUCGUUUUAUUGGGUGGUAAUAGUUACUGGAGGACGGGUGAAUGAAGAGGACAGUGUUGCUUGAUGAGGGAUUCGAGAACAACAGCAGGAGAGCGAAUUACCCUGUUUGCAUUGGAGAGGAGCUGAGUAACUGAGAACUGAGUCUUGUAAUUGCACACGUUUGACACUGAAUUGGAUGUGGUUUGGAGUGUUUGGAUCACGAUCAUAAAUAUCACUGAGUGGAUUGUAUUGAUUCAUUACCGAUCUCUUACCUCUCCCUCCUCUAUAAAUGGUGAUGUGAACUCUGCCUGUGACUGUGAAGAAAAACAUCUCAGAACAUCCUCAGUGGCAGUGAGGAUUGCGCCCUCCCCCUUCCCUUCGGACAGAAACCCGAAUGAGAAGAGAUGCCCUGUUGAAAUAUUUACUAUCUGCCUCAGAAAAGCUCUGUGCAACCUGUUGACUUCGAGUCUGCUGUAUCCCUGCCAUUCAACUGUAUGGUGAGAGGUGUUCGCUCCUUCCAAUACAUGUGAAUUGUAUACUUGCCUGAAACAUCCAUUCUGUCUGUCUCAGAAGAAGCCCCAUUCAGCCUGUUGACUUCGAGUCUGCUGUAUCCCUGCCAUUCAACUGUAUGGUGAGAGGUGUUCGCUCCUUCCAAUACAUGUGAAUUGUAUACUUGCCUGAAACAUCCAUUCUGUCUGUCUCAGAAGAAGCCCCAUUCAGCCUGUUGACUUCGAGUCUGCUGUAUCCCUGCCAUUCAACUGUAUGAAGAAGCCCAUAUUCAGCCUGUUGACUUCGAGUCUGCUGUAUCCCUGCCAUUCAACUGUAUGAAGAAGCCCAUAUUCAGCCUGUUGACUUCGAGUCUGCUGUAUCCCUGCCAUUCGACUGUAUGGAGAGAAGUGUUCGUUCCUUCCACUGCCUGUGAACUGUAUACUUGCCUGAAACAUCCAUUCUGUCCGUCUCAGAAGAAGCCCCAUUCAGCCUGUUGACUUCGAGUCUGCUGUAUCCCUGCUAUUCGCCUGUAUUGUGAGAAGUGUUCGCUCCUUCCAAUGCAUGUGAACUGUAUACUUGCCUGAAACAUCCAUUCUGUCUGUCUCAGAAGAAGCCCCAUUCAGCCUGUUGACUUCGAGCCUGCUGUAUCCCUGCUACUCAUCUGUAUGAGGAAGCCCCAUUCAGCCUGUUGACUUCGAGUCUGCUGUAUCCCUGCUAUUCAUCCGUAUUGUGAGAAGUGUUCGUUCCUUCCAACGCAUGUGAACUGUAUACUUUGUCUGAAGCAUCCAUUCUGUCUGUUUCAGUAGAAACCCUGCACAGCCUGUUGACUUAGAGUUUGUUGCAUCCUUGUGGCCCACCUGUGCUGAGAGAGGUGACUGUCCUUUGUCACGAACGUGAGAGGGGCACGCUUUGUCUGGAAUAUCCACUCUGACGGUGUCAGGAGAAGCCACCUUACUGUAAGACCGUGCACCUGCCGUAUACGUACUUGACUGAUAUCAUUCGCCUCAAAUUCCGUACCUGUGGAAGAAGGAAGGAAGGCUGGAAUUACAUACUUACCGGAGGAGACUUACCGGACCCCUCACUUGCCAAACACAUCCCCACCUCAAGGCUGUGUAUCUGCCGUGUACGGACCUGACCGAUAUCCAUCCGUCCCAAAUUCUGCAUCUGUGAAGAAGGGAAGGGAGUUUGGAAGUAUUUAAUUACCAGAGGAGACUUACCAGACUGCGGGCUUGCCGAUUGUAUUCCCACCUGUGAAAUACCUACUUGACCACCCAUCUGUCCAUCUAUUGCGGGGCCCGCACAGAGGAAGAGGGCGGGAGAGUCCCCGGUCGCUGCAUUGUUUACCUUCAAGCCCUGAGGGUAACAAAGAAGAUUUUAGUUUAGGAUUCCCAAUUUGUUUUUACUUCAAAAUAAAACUUGUUAAAUUUA